AGGCUGUGUGAAUGGUUGCAUUAGACGUCCGCAAAGACACAAGUGUCCACCCGAGUGACCAUGAAGAGGGAUAUCAUCGCCCUAUAUAUAAAGGGCCAGGACUGGAGGCGAUGUGCAAUGCACUUAAAUGCAAGCGUCCUGCCAAAUUAACCACAAGUUCGCGACCCAUUCCCGAAGAGGAGCUCCCAGCUGCUUGGAGUCAGAUGACUGAAGGACAGCCGCCUCCUGCACUUCUGUCCCAUGCCAAGUGCCAACCUACCCCGGAUCUUCCCUUUUACCCGCGAAUGUUUAUUAUUCCCCUGCCUCCAGUCGUGUUUAUUGUUUGUACGUAGUGUGUUUCUUCCAGAUCGACAGGACUUGGAGCAGCAAGGGAAGAAACGCACUGUAGUGAAUAUAGUCUGAGAAUUUGUAAUCGAAUGUAUUCAGCAGCUCGGGAACAUUGAAAAUGAAACUGAAAUUGUUUUGACUCAGGAAGUGCUGCCACUGAUCAUGGCUUCCAGACAGCAGGGAGAGAAUUGGACCGAGGAGACCGUUUGUCCCAUUUGUCUAGAUUUCUUCACCGAUCCGGUUAUACUGGAUUGUGGACACAACUUUUGCCGCUUCUGUAUCACCCAGAGUUGGGAAAGGCAGAAAAUAAACUCCUGCCCGCAAUGUAGAGAGGAGUUUCCGGACAGAAACCUCAGGGGAAAUCGGGCCUUAGCAAAUCUGGCCAAGAAAGCUCGGAAAUUAAAUCUGAAUCCACAAGAGAAGGAAAGUAACCAUCACUGUGAGGAACAUCAGGAAGAACUGAAGCUGUUUUGUGAAACUGACAAGAAAUUGAUCUGUUACACUUGUGUAGUUUCUCGGGAACACAAAUCUCACAACUUCAUAUCAAUUAAAGAAGCUGUUGAGAUCUACAAGGGUGAAGUGAAAUCAUCUUUGAAAUCUAUCACAGAAAAGAAAUGGGAGGUUUCAGAAAUGGAGAGACGGCAGAAAGAGAGAAUUUCCCAAGUUCGGGAACAGGCGAGCAGUCUGAAGACUCACAUCACAUCCGAGUUUGCUGAAUUGUACCAAAUUCUCAGUGAGAAAAAGCAACGUUUGCUCAGAGAUCUCAAGGAAGAGGAGAAGAGGAUUCUAAAACUAAUGGAGAAAAACCUUCGAAAAAUUCAAGAGAAUUUAAAUUCUAUUGAGGAAAAACGCUCAACAUUGGAGACACAGUUGCGAGAAAAAGACGGGGUGAUGUUUCUGAAGGACGAUAAUUGUGCGAAAAGCAGGAUUUACAAGGAAAAUGACACACUGGAGUUAGUAGAUGGUGCCUUGAAUGAUGGACAUUUCCGUGGCCCUUCAUCGUACACAAUUUGGAGAGAAUUCCUGGAAGCCAUCAAGCCUGUCUCUGUGACCCUUGAUGAAGAAACAGCACAUCCAGAGCUUGAGUUGUCUAAUGAUCUGAAAAGUGUGAGAUGGACCGGCACUGCAAGGAGCCUCGCUGAUAACAUAAAAAGGGGCUCAUCUGGGAUGCUGUCAUUACCAGCGGAGUGGUCACCGUCAACGACUGGGAAGACGCGGCCAUUUCCUUUUAGAAUGGUCCUGUGUGUUUCGUUGGUGGGUGCCCCGUCCAGUUGACUGACAAGGAUCCUAGGGGAGUCAUUCCGAACCAGAGCAGGAAAAUAAGGCAGGCGUGGAAAAGUAGGCACAGCUGCAGCCAAGCAACUCCGUGCACGGACCAAGGCCAACCAUGACCACAUGCAACAGAAUCAAGAUCUACUUCAUCGGAAUCAUCAUCAUUACCGGAAACAACACACAAGAAACACCGGACAGACCAGGAUAUAUGUACCCAGGAGAAGGUCAGACAAUCAUCACCACAUGGAUCAAAGCCAAGAUCUAGUGUGGUAGUAUGUGAUCACCCAGAGUGAAGUUUAAGCACAAGAACCCGUGCCAGCAGAGUUGUGUGUGUUGAUGGUUUCAGAGAUAUAUUGACUGCUAUCAUACCCUUCAUACCUGAAUAGCUUGAAAUGGAUGGAAGUCUGGCCACAAACAUCACACCUGAAGAGGUUUUCCUGUCGUAAAUCCUCUGGUAUCUCAUCGGGUUAAAGGUAUCAGGAAACCUUUUGGCAUAAACCUUACAGUUGAAGGGCUGCCUGAAUAUGCUGGCCCACAAAGGUUUUGCUGAGCAUGUGAAUACUUUAUCACACACUUCACACAUAAAAGAUGUGUGGAUUCUCUGGCACUUUUGACGAUCAAAGUACUGGUUGAGAGCCGUACAACAGUUCUUACACCUGAAGGUUUCUCACGUGAAUCAUCUGAUUAACAAAGCAGCUUGAUAACCGUUUGAAAGGUUUAUCAUCCACCUCAGACAUGAAUGGUUUCUCCUCCAUGUGAAUGUGUCGAUGUACAUGGAGGUUUGCUAACUGCAGAAUGAUUUGCCCUCACUCCUUGCACAAACCUGGUUUCUCCUCUUUGUGACUAUAGUAAAAUUUCCAUGGCCUGGAGAGGGAUGUGUCAAACACCUCACAAGUGAGUGAUUUCUCCCUUGCAUGAAGACAUAAGUCAAUACCUUCUCAAUUGGGUGAAUAUGUUUAUGUUCACAAAGGGACAAUGCAUUCAAUAAUGCUUUGCUGCACAUCUCACAUGUGCAUAGUUUUCUGUAUUUUCAUAUUUUGCCACAUUUUUACAUGUUGGUACAAGAAAAAUUGCAAUGAAUUCACAUAUGAUCUGUAUAAUGUAGGAGUAUUUUCUCUUCAGUGUGAAUGCACUGCUAGACACGGAGAUUCGAUACACGCCUCAUGAGUGAGUGGUCUCUCCUUUACAUGAAGGCAUUGGUAUUCAUGGAGGGACAUUACCUGUGAGAAUGACUUGUCACAAACCGUACACCUGAACAGAUGUUUCCUUAUUUGAACAUGUUGAAGUUUACAGUGGGUUAUGAAUCCAAAAAUUUAUCACACAUCUUACAUGGGAAUGGUUUCUCCCGUUUGAGGGUGCUGAUUUAUGCAGAGAAUCGAUGACUUUCAAAAUAAUUUCUCACACACCUCUCAUGUGAAUGGUUUCUACCCAGAGUGGAUUCUCUUGCACUUCACGAGAUCUGAGCAUUGGAGGAAAACCACCCCACAUACCUCACCUGCAGAGUUUCACCUGUGUGAAACCUCUGGUGUCUAAGGAGGCUUGAAGAUAUCACAAAGGUGUUACCGUAUACCUCACAUUUGAACAAUUUUGCUACCAGUUAAUCAUCUGCGUUAACAGUUCAUUACAACAUUCACCUUGCAAAUUAGGAAAUCCUAGCCUGCAGCACGGUAUCCUCACUUGAACAGUCUCUCACCUGUAGGAAUGAGUUAGUUCAUGAGGCCUGACGAACGAUUGAAGCUGUCACCACACUUAGAAGAUACACACAUUUUCUAGUCUCACUGAUCGCCCACAGCUGAACCUUUGGAAUGGUUGGUUCUGAUGGAAAGAUCAAUAUCAAUGACAGUUUAAAUUCUGAUUAUAUAUCAAAGCAUCCCUGACCUGACCAAUUUCCAGAUGACACUUUCACUGUCCCACCUUCUCUGUGUUGACCAGUACGAUGAAGGAUCAGAUAGCUUCUCAUCAUUGGUGUUGUUGUUCUUUGGGUUAUGGUCAGGAUCUAUUUGCGGUACCUAUCCUCUCUGUAACCUCAAGUAUAGGUGUUUCUGUAAAACAGGAAAACGAAACAUGAUUUUCUCCCAUUUCACC